rnacentral:lncRNA from 1 species
UGUGCUCUUUGCUAAGCAUUUUAAUUUCUCACAACCUGUGGUAUUUUAAUUUAAAUAAUCAAAAUUUCUGAAAAAGAGAAAGUGCAUUCAAUGCACACUGAUCGCUUGGCACACAUGGGAGGUGCGCUCUACGAAUUCAUGUAGAGGGUUGAUUCCAUUUUCACUUUUCAUCUUUUUAUUUUUUUUCUAUUUUUUAUUUUUAUUUUUUGUUCACCCCACCCAUCAUUCAUUUUACCCUAGCUGCCCCCUCUGUUUCAAUUGCCGCAAAGCGAACGCAGAGCUCACUCUUCCUCUCCCAUUAUCUCAUUUUUCUUCCAUUGCCACCAGUUUCAAGUUUCGUGGUCUUCAUUCUAUCAAUUCUAGUGCUU